GGCUUUUUGUCUUUAAAUUUAAAGUCUAGCCUGCCCCCUGAAAUUUUAAAUGGCCGCAGUAUUUUGACUGUGCUAAGGUAGCAUAAUCAUUAGUUUUUUAAUUGAAAGCUUGUAUGAAAGGUUGGAUAAGAAAAUAGCUGUCUCAAUUUUAAAAUUAAAAUUUUAUUUUUAAGUAAAAAAGCUUAAAUUUUAUUAAAAGACGAGAAGACCCUAUAGAGUUUUAUUAAUAAUAUUAUUAUAUAAAUUAGUAUUUUUAUAUUAUAAUUAUAUAGUUAAAUUAGUUGGGGUGAUUAUUAAAUAAAAUAAACUUUUUAUAAAAAUUAACAUUAAUAAAUGAUUUGUUGAUCCUAAAUUUUAGAUUAAAAGAUUAAAUUACCUUAGGGAUAACAGCGUAAUUUUUUUUGAGAGUUCUAAUUGAAAGAAAAGAUUGCGACCUCGAUGUUGGAUUAAAAUAUGUAAUUGGUGUAGAGGCUAAUUAACUAGGUCUGUUCGACCUUUAAAAUUUUACA
rnacentral:rRNA from 1 species